rnacentral:SRP_RNA from 1 species
UGUUGGUUCUCCCGCAACGCUACUCUGUUUACCGUGGUCAGGUCCGGAAGGAAGCAGCCAGAGCAGACGACGUGUGUGCCGGGAUGUAGCUGGCAGGG